UGGAGAAAUAUCGGCCAGUAUGAGCUACGGAUUAAAGAAAGGAAUGGUCCUCACAAUGGGAAUGGCUGGCUAUCCUGACAAACCAGACGUAUGGGGCUGGUUAGAUAAAGAACCCAACGGCCCUUGCCCAAUCUACAGCAACCCAAAUCCGAGUAUCACAUACGGAAAUAUUAAAUAUGGGUUUAUCGGAACAACUACCUAUUUAAAAGUAUGACCAGUAGAAUUACAAGAGGAGCAAAGCGGUUUGGAAAAAGUUUGAAAAAAAUGGGCCUUACAUUUGUCUCACAGUCUCAUACCGUAUGUUAACUAACGCAUACUGUUAAAAGUUAAAACGUAGCGACAUUUAAUACACAUAUUCGGGAAUCGGGAAUAAGAAGAGUUGGAUAUUACAAGCGAUUGUUCAUCCUUUCUCAUCUCGGACACGAGUUUCUAUGCUAAUAAGGGUUACUAUUUUGUACAUUUUCAAAAAAUUUACUUUAACUCAUUUCCAUUUAUUCCAUCUUACACUUCCAACUGACUACGGCUAUAGGAAUAGGCGGGAAUUGGAUAGGAAGGGUAGCAACUAAAACCUAAAACGCCAUUUUGUUUCAAGUAGAGAGGUGGGGUAAGCAAAUAAUUAUCGCCUUUUAUCGUUUUAUCCGAGGGGUUCUUUCGUGUCCUUUGCAUGGGGCAUAUUCAGCGUGAUUUUCACCUAAAUGGCUAAAUCAGUGUGAAAGAAAAAGAAGUACCCUAGAAAUUAGAACUUUACUACAUUCACAUAGUGUCGUCUGCUUUAGUUUUGUUUAUUACAAGUGUCGAAAAAGAAACCAAGUUGGAGACGAAGAAAAAAAAAACACGAACGAUUUCAUUUUUCAAGACGUACGCGACCGCACGAAAAAUAGCACAACAAAAUUAUUCAGUAAUGUGGUCGUCGGAUCAACUGCAUGUAGUGUCCCGGCUCUCCAUGCUGUUUGGCAGAUAAACAGCAUCCUGUUUGAUUGGAAAAACUACACAUUGAGCUACGGAUCUCUUCUUCUCCUUACUUGAAAUGUCCCCGUGUACACCCAUGUGAGUAGGCCUAUGGGUGUAUUCAUGAGGACCCCCCUUUUCCCUAUCCCACCUUCUGGUGGAUUCAACUCAAAGCGGAUGGAGCUCACUUGUGGAUGUCUGGCUGUAUUUCCCAGGAUUAAAGGUGUGCCAGAAACUCAUCCAGCGAGGAAAUAAAUUUCACGAACUUGUCGCCUCGAACUUUAUCUUUGGCAAUAUCGUUCAG